GCCAGUGGUAGCUCAGUGUUUAAGAUGUUAGACUACUGAUUGGAAGCUCCUGAGUUCAAAUCCCAGCACUGACA